UAUGUGCUUCUGUAUUUCCUAAGAGGAAGUCUUCCAUGGCAGGGUCUUAAGGCUGUUGAUAAGAAGCAAAAGUAUGAUAAAAUCUGUGAGAAGAAGAUAUCAACCCCUAUUGAGGUUUUAUGCAAAGGUCACCCUGUGGAGUUUGCUUCA